AGAAGAAGAAGAAGAAGAAGAAGAAGAAGAGAGGCCUCGCAUGGCGAUGAGAGCUCGCAUCUGGUAGCCAAGGAUGACUUGCCUGUGUCUCUGCUCAUGUGCAGUAGAAGAAGAUGCAUUUCUAGCUGCUUUCUGCAUAUGUGAUCUCACAGGCAGUCUCCUUGGCUAGCCUGAGCGGCUCUCAUCCUUCAUGCCUGGCUCAUCUCUUCUUAAUGAUCUCUUAUUA
rnacentral:sRNA from 1 species